GAUGAACGCUAGCGGCAGGCCUAAUACAUGCAAGUCGAACGGAUACUCUCUGGCUUGCUAGAGAGGAAAGUGGCGCACGGGUGCGUAACGCGUAUGCAACCUACCUUAAUCAGGGGGAUAGCCCGAAGAAAUUCGGAUUAACACCGCAUAAAAACACAGGAAUAGCAUUAUCCAAUGUUCAAGUAUUUAUAGGAUUAAGA
rnacentral:rRNA from 1 species